UACGUAGGGGGCAAGCGUUGUCCGGAAUUAUUGGGCGUAAAGAGCGCGUAGGCGGUCCGGUAAGUCGGCUGUGAAAGUCAAGGGCUCAACCCUUGAAAGCCGGCCGAUACUGUCGGACUAGAGUCCGGAAGAGGCGAGUGGAAUUCCCGGUGUAGCGGUGGAAAUGCGCAGAUAUCGGGAGGAACACCAAUGGCGAAGGCAGCUCGCUGG
rnacentral:rRNA from 1 species